GGUAGUGUGGCCGAGAGCUAGGUGGCGAGUUGUAGCUUCGCCGAGGGGGGAAAAAAGGCACCCCCACUACCA
rnacentral:tRNA from 1 species